rnacentral:tRNA from 1 species
CAAAGUGUAGCUUAACCAAAGCACCUGGCUUACACCCAGAAGAUUUUCAUACAAUAUGACCACUUUGA